UUUCCGUAGGUGAACCUGCGGAAGGAUCAUUAACGAGUUAGGGUCUUUUAGGCCCGACCUCCCAACCCUAUGUUUAUUGAACCUCUGUUGCUUCGGCGGACCCGUCUCACGGCCGCCGGAGGACCGCUGCGAGGCGUCCUCUGGCCAGCGUCCGCCGAUGGCCAACCCACUAAACUCUGAAUGAAUCGUGUCAUAUGUCUAAGUCUAUGAUUAGAUUAAAGCAAAACUUUCAACAACGGAUCUCUUGGUUCUG
rnacentral:misc_RNA from 1 species